rnacentral:rRNA from 1 species
UGGGGAAUAUUGGGCAAUGGGCGAAAGCCUGACCCAGCAACGCCGCGUGAAGGAAGAAGGCCUUCGGGUUGUAAACUUCUUUUAAGAGGGACGAAGAAGUGACGGUACCUCUUGAAUAAGCCACGGCUAACUACGUGCCAGCAGCCGCGGUAAUACGUAGGUGGCGAGCGUUAUCCGGAUUUACUGGGUGUAAAGGGCUCGUAGGCGGUUCGUCGCGUCCGGUGUGAAAGUCCAUCGCUUAACGGUGGAUCUGCGCCGGGUACGGGCGGGCUGGAGUGCGGUAGGGGAGACUGGAAUUCCCGGUGUAACGGUGGAAUGUGUAGAUAUCGGGAAGAACACCAAUGGCGAAGGCAGGUCUCUGGGCCGUUACUGACGCUGAGGAGCGAAAGCGUGGGGAGCGAACAGGAUUAGAUACCCUGGUAGUCCACGCCGUAAACGGUGGAUGCUGGAUGUGGGGCCCGUUCCACGGGUUCCGUGUCGGAGCUAACGCGUUAAGCAUCCCCGCCUGGGGAGUACGGCCGCAAGGCUAAAACUCAAAGAAAUUGACGGGGGCCCGCACAAGCGGCGGAGCAUGCGGAUUAAUUCGAUGCAACGCGAAGAACCUUACCUGGGCUUGACAUGUUCCCGACGGUCGUAGAGAUACGGCUUCCCUUCGGGGCGGGUUCACAGGUGGUGCAUGGUCGUCGUCAGCUCGUGUCGUGAGAUGUUGGGUUAAGUCCCGCAACGAGCGCAACCCUCGCCCCGUGUUGCCAGCGGAUUAUGCCGGGAACUCACGGGGGACCGCCGGGGUUAACUCGGAGGAAGGUGGGGAUGACGUCAGAUCAUCAUGCCCCUUACGUCCAGGGCUUCACGCAUGCUACAAUGGCCGGUACAACGGGAUGCGACGCGGCGACGCGGAGCGGAUCCCUGAAAACCGGUCUCAGUUCGGAUCGCAGUCUGCAACUCGACUGCGUGAAGGCGGAGUCGCUAGUAAUCGCGAAUCAGCAACGUCGCGGUGAAUGCGUUCCC